rnacentral:rRNA from 1 species
GACGAACGCUGGCGGCGUGCUUAACACAUGCAAGUCGAACGGAAAGGCCCUGCUUUUGUGGGGUGCUCGAGUGGCGAACGGGUGAGUAACACGUGAGUAACCUGCCCUUGACUUUGGGAUAACUUCAGGAAACUGGGGCUAAUACCGGAUAGGAGCUCCUGCUGCAUGGUGGGGGUUGGAAAGUUUCGGCGGUUGGGGAUGGACUCGCGGCUUAUCAGCUUGUUGGUGGGGUAGUGGCUUACCAAGGCUUUGACGGGUAGCCGGCCUGAGAGGGUGACCGGGCACAUUGGGACUGGGAUACGGCCCAGACUCCUACGGGAGGCAGCAGUGGGGAAUAUUGCACCAUGGGGGGACGCCUGAUGCAGCAACGCCGCGUGCGGGAUGACGGACUUCGGGUUGUAAACCGCUUUCGCCUGUGACGAAGCGUGAGUGACGGUAAUGGGUAAAGAAGCACCGGCUAACUACGUG